AACGAACGCUGGCGGCAGGCUUAACACAUGCAAGUCGAACGCCCCGCAAGGGAGUGGCAGACGGGUGAGUAACGCGUGGGAAUCUACCCAACUCUACGGAAUAACUCAGGGAAACUUGUGCUAAUACCGUAUACGCCCUUCGGGGGAAAGAUUUAUCGGAGUUGGAUGAGCCCGCGUUGGAUUAGCUAGUUGGUGGGGUAAAGGCCUACCAAGGCGACGAUCCAUAGCUGGUUUGAGAGGAUGAUCAGCCACACUGGGACUGAGACACGGCCCAGACUCCUACGGGAGGCAGCAGUGGGGAAUCUUAGACAAUGGGGGAAACCCUGAUCUAGCCAUGCCGCGUGAGUGAUGAAGGCCUUAGGGUUGUAAAGCUCUUUCAGCUGGGAAG
rnacentral:rRNA from 1 species